UUGAAGCUGGAAAGUUGGCUACAUUAGAUGGUAUGCUCUAAAUCAAGAAAAUGAGACAAAGCAUGACUGCUACAUAGCGUGGAGCCUGACUACAUUCGUGAAGGAGGCAGCCUACCACUCGUUUUGACGCUUACUGAGACCACUGGCAAGGAUUGUGUGUUUUUACCAAUGGGAAGGUCUGAUGAUGGUGCGCAUUCCCAGAAUGAAAAGUUGAACAUUACAAAUUUUCAAGCUGGUAUGAAGCUGUUUGCUGCCUAUAUCAAUCAUCUUGGUGCGUUGACAAGUGGUGCAGAAAGCCAGAAAGCAUGAUCAAAUGAAACUGACAUUUGCUGAAUUGUUAAUACAAGCAAGUGAUUAAUCGCUAUUUUUUCUACCAUUGUCUUCAUUAAAUACUUUGUCAAAGCACAGAUUUCUAGAUAGCGCGAGACUGCACAGGUAGACGGGAAAAUGGUUGAGGUAAAAUUUAAGAAAUUGCGGGAUUAAGGUUUUGGGGCAGAAAAAAUAUGUUCAUUUAUAAUAAAAAUGCAUAUCAAUGA